GUCGUCGUGGCCGAGUGUUUAAGGCGAUGGACUAGAAAUCCAUUGGGGUCCUCCCGCAUAGGUUCGAAUCCUAUCGACGACG
rnacentral:tRNA from 1 species